AUCCUGUAUGUUCCCUGAAGUUAAGCAUUGUUGAUCCUGGUUAGUACCUAGAUGGGUGACUGCUUGGGAAUACCAAGUGCUGUAAGC